rnacentral:rRNA from 1 species
UACGUAGGGAGCAAGCGUUGUCCGGAAUCAUUGGGCGUAAAGAGCGUGUAGGCGGCCCGGUAAGUCCGCUGUGAAAGUCCAGGGCUCAACCCUGGGAUGCCGGUGGAUACUGUCGGGCUCGAGUCCGGAAGAGGAGUGUGGAAUUCCUGGUGUAGCGGUGAAAUGCGCAGAUAUCAGGAGGAACACCAAUGGCGAAGGCAGCGCUCUGGGACGUGACUGACGCUGAGACGCGAAAGCGUGGGGAGCAAACAGG